rnacentral:rRNA from 1 species
AGUGAACGCUGGCGGUAGGCCUAACACAUGCAAGUCGAACGGCAGCACAGUAAGAGCUUGCUCUUACGGGUGGCGAGUGGCGGACGGGUGAGGAAUACAUCGGAAUCUACUUUUUCGUGGGGGGUAACGUAGGGAAACUUACGCUAAUACCGCAUACGACCUACGGGUGAAAGCAGGGGAUCUUCGGACCUUGCGCGAUUGAAUGAGCCGAUGUCGGAUUAGCUAGUUGGCGGGGUAAAGGCCCACCAAGGCGACGAUCCGUAGCUGGUCUGAGAGGAUGAUCAGCCACACUGGAACUGAGACACGGUCCAGACUCCUACGGGAGGCAGCAGUGGGGAAUAUUGGACAAUGGGCGCAAGCCUGAUUCAGCCAUACCGCGUGGGUGAAGAAGGCCUUCGGGUUGUAAAGCCCUUUUGUUGGGAAAGAAAAGCAGCAGGUUAAUACCCCGCUGUUCUGACGGUACCCAAAGAAUAAGCACCGGCUAACUUCGUG